AGAAGGGUCAAAAUGCUUUAUUUUCCCAUUUUGAAAGGUAAUUUCAAACACACAAUGACCAUGUUAACAUAAUUCUCUUUUUUUUAAAGAAUAUCUUUACGAAUAUAAAUGAUUUAAAAAAGUAAUAAAAAAGAGAUAUAAAUUAAGCUACAUUGAAAAUGACAUGUAUGUGACAGGAUGUCAAUUUCUGCCUCUUCACAUACCUAAAAGUGCCUCAGAGACAUUUUGUUCAGAGAAGAUUGUGAUUUAGAAUAUGUAACGGAUAACACAUAACCUUUUCAGUUGGAAACGCAAUUACAAUUACAAAUUAAAAGAAUGUGACUGAGAAGCACCAAAAAUAUAUUGGGCACAUGAAAAUCAAAGCAUGCAAAUAUAACUUAAUUCAGGAAUAGCUUUAUUCUGUACUUGAUUGAAAAUAAAAAGAUAAGCACAGAUAAAAAUGGUGAUCCUAAUGAGAGUUUACUUUAAAUUUUUUGGGGGGUGGUUGGAUACUUGAAUCAAAUAAAUCAACUGGCAUACUUCUUCCAAAUACAAAAACAAACAUCAAGGCCUAAAUACACUACAUUACCAAAAGUAUGUGGACACCUGCUCGUCGAACAUCUCAUUCCAAAAUCAUGGGCAUUAAUAUGGAGUUGGUCCCCCCUUUGCUGCUAUUUUUUAUUUAUUUAUAUUUAACCAGGCAUGUCAGUUAAGAACAAAUUCUUAUUUUACAAUGACGGCCUACCCCGGCCAAACCCUCCCCUAAGCCGGACGACGCUGGGACCAUUGUGCGCCACCCUAUGGGACUCUCGAUACCGGACGGUUAUGAUGCAGCCCGGGAUCGAACUAGGGGCUGUAAUGACACCUCUAGCACUGAGAUGCAGUGCGUUAGACCACUGCUACCACACAGCCAACAAGAGCGUUAGUGAGGUUGGACACUGAUGUUGGGCAAUUAGGCCUGGCUCAAAGGUGUUCGAUGGGGUUGAGGUCAGGUCUCUGUGCAGGCCAGUCAAGUUCUUCCACACCGAUCUCGACAAAAUAUUUCUGAAUGGCCCUCGCUUUGUGCACCGGGGCAUUGUCAUGCUGAAACAGAAUGGGUCUUCCUCAAACUGUUGCAACAAAGUUAGAAUCAAAUCAAAUCAAAUGUAUUUAUAUAGCCCUUCGUACAUCAGCUGAUAUCUCAAAGUGCUGUACAGAAACCCAGCCUAAAAUCCCAAACAACAAGCAAUGCAGGUGUAGAAGCACGGUGGCUAGGAAAAACCUAGGAAGAAACCUAGAGAGGAACCAGGCUAUGAGGGGUGGCCAGUCCUCUUCUGGCUGUGCCGGGUGGAGAUUAUAACAGAACAUGGCCAAGAUGUUCAAAUGUUCAUAAAUGACCAGCAUGGUCAAAUAAUAGGUCUGGGACAGGUAGCACGUCCUGUGAACAGAUCAGGAUUCCAUAGCCGCAGGCAGAACAGUUGAAACUGGAGCAGCAGCACGGCCAGUCAUCAUGCCAGGUAGUCCUGAGGCAUGGUCCUAGGGCUCAGGUCCUCCGAGAGAGAGAAAGAAAGAGAGAAUUAGAGAGAGCAUACUUAAAUUCACACAGGACACCGGAUAAGACAGGAGAAGUACUCCAGAUAUAACAAACUGACCCUAGCCCUCCGACACAUAAACUACUGCAGCAUAAAUACUGGAGGCUGAGACAGGAGUGGUCAGGAGACACUGUGGCCCCAUCCGAUGAUACCCCCGGACAGGGCCAAACAGGAAGGAUAUAACCCCACCCACUUUGCAAAAGCACAGCCCCCACACCACUAGAGGGAUAUCUUCAACCACCAACUUACCAUCCUGAUGCAAGGUCGAGUAUAGCCCACAAAGAUCUCCGCCACGGCACAACCCAAGGGGGGGCGCCAACCCAGACAGGAAAAUCACAGCAGUGACUCAACCCACUCAAGUGACGUACCCCUCCUAGGGACGGCAUGAAAGAACACCAGUAAGCCAGUGACUCAGCCCCUGUAAUAGGGUUAGAGGCAGAGAAUCCCAGUGGAAAGAGGGGAACCGGCUAGGCAGAGACAGCAAGGGCGGUUCGUUGCUCCAGAGCCUUUCCGUUCACCUUCACACUCCUGGGCCAGACUACACUCAAUCAUAUGACGCACUGAAGAGAAGCACAAAAUUGUCUAGAAUGUCAUGCUGUAUCAAAUCAAAUAACAACAUUAGAGGAUUAGAAAACCAACGCUUAAAAGAAAAGGUGUCCAUGUAUGCCGAUGACUAGAUACCUGCAAUAUCUAAUUGAAGAUAACUUUUCUGUACUCUCUGGACUAAAACCUUAUUAUGAUAAGUGUACAAUAUUAAGUUGGGAUGUGGAAUUGGAGACAAGUGGGGGUGGAUUUGCUGUGCGGGGGAUAGAUUGACGGUCAAAGAUAAAAGUAAGAACAGAACAAAAAGUAUGUUUGAAUGACACUGAGGGGGCAGUGUUGUUACAGCUAAUGCCGGUCUGAGGGGGCAGUGUUGUCACAGCUAAUGCCAGUCUGCCUGAUGCUGAUGCCGUGCACCUGCAUAGUUUAUACACAUGCAUAUACACACACUCUCAUUGAAAUGCACACACAUGCACAUACACUGACACACACACAUGUAAAUAGUGACCUACAUGCACUCAAACAUAUUCAGAUGGCCUCACUGUUAUGAUUUUUGUUGUCCUUGAUGUCUUGUUUUCUGCAUUGUUGUUUUCUGCUUUCCUUUGUCUUUCUCUUUUUUGUCUUUUGUUAAUUUGGUUGGUUGUUGGUGCAUUGGGGACGGGGGCUUGGGGGACAGGGGUCUUGGGGGUUGGGAAUGGAAUUAUUGAAUUUUUCUCGGGGGGCUUGGAUGGUUGAGGGCAGCUCUUGGAAAACUGUGGGAGGGAUCUUGGAGGGCUGGAGGCCUCGUGGUUGGGAGCUUGGGCUGGUGGCUGAUGGAUCGCUGGUUCGGGUACCCGUUUUUGACCUUGUGGGACAUUGGUUGACGUGUCCUGUUAGAUGACUAAUGUGAUGUAGAUGUUGAGCGGCUUUACUGGAAAUAGAUUGUAUGUUUUAAAUAUUCAAUUAAAAAAUGUUUUAAAAAAAGAUUUCCCUUCACUGGAACCAAGACAAUUAUUCCUUAUCCACCAAACUUUACAGUUGGCACUAUGCAUUGCGGCAGGUAGCAUUCUCCUGGAAUCCGCCAAACUCAGAUUCGUCCGUCAUACUGCCAGAUGGUGAAGCAUGAUUCAUCACUCCAGAGAAUGCGUUUCCACUGCUCCAGAGUCCAAUGGUUGCGAGCUGUACACCACUCCAGCCGAUCUUUGGCGUAUGUGCGGCUGCUUGACCAUGGAAACUCAUUUCAAAAAGCUCCCGACGAACAAUUUUGUGCUGACAUUAAUCCCAGAGGCAGUUUGGUACUCGGUAGUGAGUGUUGCAACUGAGGACAGAUGAUUUGUACACGCUACGCGCCUCAGCACUCUGCGGUUCCGUUCUGUGAGCUUGUGUGGCCUACUACUUUGCGGCUGAGCCGUUGUUGCUCCUAGAUAUUUC
ensembl:lncRNA